GGAGCAGACCAGGUCAUCGCCCCGAUAGGAUAUCGGGGAGGAAAGUCCGAGCUCCCAAGGCAGGGUGCCUGGCAACCCCAGGGAUUCGCAAGAAUACGGAAAGUGUCUCAGAGACCAGACCGCCCCGAUUUACUCGGGGUAAGGGUGAAAGGGUGGUGUAAGAGACCACCGCCCCGAUGGUGACAUCGGGGGCUGACAAACCCCACCCGGAGCAAGGCCAAAUAAGGAAGAAGGAAGAGCCUGUUCCGCUAUUACUUCCGGGUAGGCCGCUUGAGCUGGUUGGUGACAAUCGGCCCAGAUAGAUGAUGACCCAAACAGAACUCGGCUUACGGUCCGCUCUGGCU
rnacentral:RNase_P_RNA from 1 species